rnacentral:rRNA from 1 species
GACGAACGCUGGCGGCAGGCUUAACACAUGCAAGUCGAACGAGUGGCGGACGGGUGAGUAAUGCUUGGGAAUCUAGCUUCUGGAGGGGGCUAACUACGGGAAACUGUAGCUAAUACCGCGUACCAUAGGAUGAGCCCACGUGGGAUGAGGUAGUUGGUGAGGUAAAGGCUCAACAAGGCGGCGAUCUCUAGCUGGUCUGAGGGGAUGACCAGCAACACGGGGAAUGAGACACGGCCCGGCAUCCUACGGGAGGCAGCAGGGGGGAAUAUUGCGCAAGGGGGGCAAGCUGACGUAGCCAUGGCGCGGGAAUGAAGAAGGCCUUCGGGGUGUAAAGUUCUUUCGGUAGCGAGGCGUUAACUACAGAAGAAGCACCGGCUAACUCCGUGCCAGCAGCCGCGGUAAUAC